CAAACUAGUUGGUUUACUGUAUCGUCCUUUGUGGCUGUUGUGCUUUGUAUGCUACUCGGCGUUGUUAUUCACCUGUUCGUCACCUGUAUGGCAUAAACGCAUCAGUGAGAUGCCACAGAGCCUGCGAAAGAGGAAAAAUAUCACCUCCUGCUGCUUUAAUCAAUGCCUACACCUAUGGUUGUGUGAUUUAAAAGGUUUAAUCUUUGGGGAUACGUUGCGUCCAACUGUGAAGCAGCACACGGUCUUGAUUCAGUCCUGGAGUGCACAUGUAUUUCUGACAGGAUCCGGGCACAGGCUGCUGCUCUCAGGCUAAUGUUAACGCCAGCACUGACUCAUCUGUGUGAUGUGAAGCUUUGUUCCGAGGCACAUUAUAACAAGCCCCUGCUGACUUUCCCUCCUUUCCCUCGUCACUCUCCUGCUGGAAAUUCCAGCACUGUCAUAUCAUGUGCUCCGUCACUUUAAUUGCUCAAGUGGGAAUAAUCCUCAGGGGCCGAAGGGAACACGUCAACAAAUCUGACUUCAGGAGUGCAGAUAUCCUCAGGGGGCAUUAAAGCCACUCAUGUGUCCAGUCCAAGUCAAAACAGUGUUGAUGGGGAAAGGCUCCGACUAGUAUGUUUCAAUAAGCUUUUGAGAUGUUUUGGCUGGUCAGGUGAGGAGCACAAAAAGUGACUAAUUAAUUUGUCAUGACAAGUGUUGCUAUAGCAAAGAAGUGAAUGUAUUGCAGUGAAUUCUUUACAGGACAUUCAUUUGAUGCCGGUUUAAACUUUAAUUGAUUUGUGAUAUUAAUUAUAGUAAUAAAAUGUGACCUU